rnacentral:rRNA from 1 species
CCUACGGGAGGCAGCAGUCGAGAAUUUUUCUCAAUGGGCGCAAGCCUGAAGGAGCGACGCCGCGUGGGGGAUGAAGGGUUUCGAUCCGUAAACCCCUGUCAUUCAUGAACAAUGCUUGCCCAUGAACAAUGGGCAAGUUGAUAGUAAUGGAAGAGGAAGGGACGGCUAACUCUGUGCCAGCAGCCGCGGUAAUACAGAGGUCCCGAGCGUUGUUCGGAUUCACUGGGCGUAAAGGGUGCGUAGGUGGCAUGGCAAGUUUGAUGUGAAAGCUCAGGGCUUAACCCUGAAAUGGCAUUGAAUACUGCUGUGCUGGAGGUUUGGAGGGGGGACUGGAAUUCUUGGUGUAGCAGUGAAAUGCGUAGAUAUCAAGAGGAACACCAGUGGCGAAGGCGAGUCCCUGGACAACACCUGACACUGAGGCACGAAAGCCGGGGGAGCAA